GUAGGAGCUGGAUGUAGGAUGUAGGAGCUGGAUGUAGGGAUGUAGGAGCUGGAUGUAGGAUGUAGGAGCUGGAUGUAGGAUGUAGGAGCUGGAUGUUGCAGCUGGAUUUUGGAGCUGGAUGUAGGAGCCGGUUGUUGGAGCCGGAUGUUGGAUAUUGGAGCUGGAUUUUGGAGCCGGAUGUUGGAUGUUGGAGCUGGAUGUUGGAUGUUGGAGCUGGAUGUUGGAGCCGGAUGUAGGAGCCGGAUGUAGGAGCUGGAUGUAGGAUCUGGAUGUUGGAUGUUGGAGCUGGAUGUUGGAGCCGGAUGUUGGAGCUGGAUGUUGGAUCUGGUUGUUGGAGCCGGAUGUUGGAUGUUGGAGCCGGAUGUAGGAGCCGGAUGUAGGAGCCGGAGGUU
ensembl:lncRNA